rnacentral:rRNA from 1 species
AGAGUUUGAUCAUGGCUCAGGAUGAACGCUAGCUACAGGCUUAACACAUGCAAGUCGAGGGGCAGCAUGGUCUUAGCUUGCUAAGGCCGAUGGCGACCGGCGCACGGGUGAGUAACGCGUAUCCAACCUGCCUUACACUCUUGGACAGCCUUCUGAAAGGGAGAUUAAUACAAGAUGUUAUCAUGAGUAAGCAUUUUCGCGUGAUUAAAGGUUUACCGGUGUAAGAUGGGGAUGCGUUCCAUUAGAUAGUAGGCGGGGUAACGGCCCACCUAGUCUUCGAUGGAUAGGGGUUCUGAGAGGAAGGUCCCCCACAUUGGAACUGAGACACGGUCCAAACUCCUACGGGAGGCAGCAGUGAGGAAUAUUGGUCAAUGGACGAGAGUCUGAACCAGCCAAGUAGCGUGAAGGAUGAAGGUUCUAUGGAUUGUAAACUUCUUUUAUACGGGAAUAAACGGAUCCACGUGUGGAUUUUUGCAUGUACCGUAUGAAUAAGGAUCGGCUAACUCCGUGCCAGCAGCCGCGGUAAUACGGAGGAUCCGAGCGUUAUCCGGAUUUAUUGGGUUUAAAGGGAGCGUAGAUGGGUUGUUAAGUCAGUUGUGAAAGUUUGCGGCUCAACCGUAAAAUUGCAAUUGAUACUGGCAGUCUUGAGUACAGUUGAGGUAGGCGGAAUUCGUGG